CCCUUUCGUGGUCUGCCACCUUGACGUGGUGAAAGGGCUUGCGUGCCACUGUGAUCCGGAGAGCUAUACCGACGGGAACUUUUGUUCCUGGUAGGGACACCCAUGUCGGUCAAGUCGAAGGGGAGUGGCCAGACAAAGUGCAGA
rnacentral:ribozyme from 1 species